CGGUCGCAAAACUUUCUGUUCCCUAAAUUAGUUGUGAUACAACACAGUUCCACAUUUGUAUAAAAUAAACAACACUAAAUAAAAUAUGGAAUGGAGUAACAAAAGGGCUGACAAUUACACACCUAACUAGUGGACAGGAAAGAGGAGCUGAAAAUUAUGAAUCUGAAAAUAGAUUUGUCUAACCGCGACAUUAAUUUCAUACAAAAAAAUCAUGUCCCAUUUUAAUUUGACGCCAUUCUUAAUUCAUUGCUGAUGUCCAAUUAUUAUUUUCCAUUGCCUUCUUGCAUCUUGUGUUCUCUGUAACUCCAGUGAACAUUACAAAUGAAAAUCGAUUCGUCCUUUUGGAUUGUCAUGAUUUCUUUAAAUCAUCGUUUUAGCAAAGCAACUUUUCUUUCUGAAAUAUCUUCUUUUUCACACAUGGGGAAGAGAAGAUGUAACACGAAAAGUCUAAACAAUCUCACAAGUCGUAGCCAGUUUCUAACGUACAUGAAGGCUGGAGUCAUCCAGGGUGAGUGUAACGUUCAUGUCGGUCCAGGUUAGAAUUGUUGAAUUGUGUAGUCUUGACGGUGAGUUUGACAGAAAUCUGUAUUGGAAGACGAUGACUUAAAAAUCAAGGUAAUCCAUAAGUAUCGAAUCGGUUUUAAUUUGCAAUGCUCACUGGGAUUCCAGAGACCACAAGUAACUUAUAUGAAGUUGGUGGAAAAUACUGAAAAGGAAAAUUAGACACCAAUAAUAAAUUAAUGGUGUUAGAAGAAAAUUCAACGUGUAAACUUGAAAAGUCUCAUUUAAAAGUUUUACAUUGAUAACAACAAACAUUUAGAAGCUAGACUCACUGUGGCCAUAUUUCAACUGAACGAAAUGGUGUGAAGCUACACUUCAAUAUGAAAACACUGGUGCAAAAUUUGGACUUGGUUCAGACAAAUCUUGGAAUAACUCACGGUUGUAAAACUUGGCCUAAAGGUGUAUUUUCGUUGUCUUUUAGACAGAGAGAAUGUUGAAAAUGUUUUGGGUUUAAAUUAAAUUAUUGUUGCGGUACUAAAUAUUGAGCGGUACUCUACUCCUUUUUCUUUUCUUCUAUAUAUGUGAGUUUUAAGCCACCUCCAUCCGAGAACUCCACUUCUUGGAAGUCUACUGCCUUUUCGCGGCGGUAGACUUUGCCGGACAAAGGGGUAGCAGGUGGUGAAGCGGGUGUAGGGAUAACGCUUACUGGACACUUCUCCAGUUGCGCUGUUAGUUCCUCAAUUCUGAUGUUCUGUUUCACCAUGAGAGAAAUAAUUUUACAUUUUAA